rnacentral:rRNA from 1 species
GUGUCAGCCGCCGCGGUAAGACGAACCGAGCGAACGUUGUUCGGAAUCACUGGGCUUAAAGGGUGCGUAGGCGGGCUGCCAAGUUUGGGGUGAAAUCCUCCGGCUCAACCGGGGAAGUGCCUUGAAUACUGGCGGUCUGGAGGGAGGUAGGGGCGUGCGGAACUAACGGUGGAGCGGUGAAAUGCGUUGAUAUCGUUAGGAACUCCGGUGGCGAAGGCGGCACGCUGGACCUCUUCUGACGCUGAGGCACGAAAGCCAGGGGAGCGAACGGGAUUAGAAACCCCUGUAGUCC